rnacentral:pre_miRNA from 1 species
UCCGAAAAUACUUGUCAUCAAAAUGGAUGAAAGGGGAUGUAUCUAGAACUAAAAUACGUCUAGAUGCAUCUCCUUUUAUUCAUUUUGAUGACAAGUAUUUCCGGA